rnacentral:tmRNA from 1 species
GCAGCUAAGCAUGUAGAAGGCUUACCUUAUACCAUGUUUGGACGAGAGUUCGAAUCUCUCCGGGUCCACUU